rnacentral:lncRNA from 1 species
AUUUCUCCUUUGCCAAGAUAAUCCAUCCACCUGACAACUGUGCAUAUCAAGAAGACGAUUAAAAAAAACAUGAUCAUUACACAGGUGCACCUUGUGUUUGUGACAAUAAAAGGCCACUCUAAAAUGUCUAGUUUUUUCACACAACGCCACAGAUGUACGUCCAACCAGCCUCACAAGCGCAGGCCACAUGUAUGACGUUGUGUGAGCGAGUGGUUUGCUGAUGUCAAUGUUGUGAACAGAGUGCCCAAUGGUGGCGGUGGGGUUAUGGUAUGGGCCGACAUAAGCUACGGACAACGAACACAAUUGCAUUUUACCGAUGGCAAUUUCAAUGCACAGAGAUACCGUGAUGAGAUCCUGAGGUCCGUUGUCGUACCAUUCAUCCGCCACCAUCACUUCAUGUUUCAGCAGGAUAAUGCACGACCCCAUGAUGCAAGGAUCAGUACACAAUUCCUGGAAGCUGAAAACGUCCCAGUUCUUCCAUGGCCUGCAAACUCAGACAUGCCACCCAUUGACCAUGUUUGGGAUGCUCUGGAUUGACGUGUACGACAGCGUGUUAGAGUUCCUGACAAUAUACAGCAACUUCACAGAGCCAUUGAAGAGCCAACAUUCCACAGAUCACAAUCAACAGACUGAUCAACUGUAUGUAAAGGAGAUGUGUCGCGCUGCAUGAGGAAAAGGGUCACACCAGAUACUAACUGGUUUUCUGAUCCACGGCCCUACCUUUUUUUUUUAAAGGUAUCUGUAACCAGAUGCAUCUCUGCAUUCCCAGUCAUGUGAAAUCCAUAGAUUAGGGCUUAGUGAAUUUAUUUCAAUUGACCUAUUUCUUUAUAUAAACUUUAUUUGAGUCUAUAUUUUUGUUCAGUAUAGAAUGGGUUAAGACGCAAUUGCAUUAGCUGGCGUCAGCGCGGUACUUUUUUCACCAGUAGGUGGCGGACUCCCCAUAAAAACCCUCAUUAGCCUUGGUCACUAAACCUUGGCCAUGAACUUUCACUUGUGGGGAAAAGAUGAUUUGAAGUUAGUUGAUAUGUCACAAUAUACAUAUGCAAUGUAAUUAUAUUUUAAACUAUUAUAUGCCCUUUGUAUGUUGGGCACAAGUAUAGGCUCAAUUACGAGUGUACUGUUAAUUAAGGAAUUUGAGCUUGCCAAUGAGACUUGUGGGAAAAUUGUGAACCUGAGCUUUUUCUACCUGUACAAAUGGAACAAUGCUUCAAAUGCAAUAGUUUAGGCUUGCAUGGUAAAUGGUUAAUCCAAGCCAUUUGAAGGGAAUCUAUGAAAUGGCUCAGUGUUUCUUUUCUACAAAAUAGUCUGUUCAACACUGGCAGGCCAUUUAAAAUGACAUUGUUUUGUGAAGUGUUUAUAGAGGUUAGCAGUUUCCCGAGGAGCAGAUUAAUGCAGAAUUAUUCUCAGGUGAGAAUCGGGUUAAUGGCCCAAUGUCCUAUACAAUGCCCUUGCAGUCUGUAUUUUGAGGUAGAAUUAGGACUCAAUUCCUGAACACUCAAGAUGAAAGGUCAACUAGAGUCCUGCUGUGUGUGAACUGUAAAAGACUCACGUAGUCAAUAAGAAUUGUAUAGUUUGUCCAUUGCACUCCAAAGAAAUGACUCAAGAAUUUCUCAUCCGUCUCAUUCAGUUGACAACUGUUAUAAAAGAUUGACAUUACCACUGAAUAGGCCUGUUAACGAGCUGGAAUUGAAACUCGUGACAACCUGGCAUUGCAGAACCAUUUUCAGCCAGACAUAAAAGUGUCAGUCUUUACCUUUUGCAAACUCAAGCAUAUCUCGCAGUCUGUCAUCUAGGCUACAAGUUUCCAUACAGCAGGAAAACAUGCUCAAAUAAUGCAUUUGGUUUAUUUUUUGUAUAAAAAAGGUACAAUUUACAUUAUUACUUUUAUAAAAAGUUUCAGCAUAAUUAAGUACAGCAUUACACUUUUGCAGAAAUGUGCAAUUCCUUUAACUAUACAAGAUAAACCUCAGAGCGAGUUCACAAGGUUUCACUUGUUCAUUUCAUUUUUUACAAUGUCCAGUCCUUCAUGUGCCAAGAAGAGUAACAAUUCUGACAAGACAGACUACAUUUUAUACAGUAACUAACCAAUGUGUCUUCUAUUCACGAGUCAACUCCGCAAAAAAAAAAAAAGACUUCAAGGGGGAUAAAGGGAAAUCCUUGUGACAAUAAUCUCUCAUUUGUUUUUCUCCCAGUUUCGGGAAUAUAGCGCGCCUUCCAUUUCAAGAAAGGACAAAAAAAAAGUCUUAAGUUAAAUAAUAUGAGUGUCCGAACUGAAAACACAUCACAUAGAUUGUCCUUUAAGCAAAGUCUUUUGAUUCAAUUAAAGAAAUUCCAGAACCUGAGGACAAAAAUAGAGGGAAAAAAGCCCGGUUCCGAGGUCCUGUGUGUGUUGUUUCUUAACCAAACGCCUGAAAAAGAUUGAGAAGGAGAGGCAUGUUUAGAAAAUGCAAACAGGGCAGAGAUCCGGACAGACUGGCGUCAGGGAGGAAGCCGCAGUAUUAAGAUUUAACCAAACACUCAAAUACUGAGCAAACCCUGGGCUCCAGAUGUAGCCUACACACACACAGUACAGACAGACACUAGAGCAGCAUAAGGCACUUUCGCACACAACUUCAGCCUACAAUCUGGGAGAGAAUCAGAUCGUAAUUGCAGUUCAACUGGCGCCUAGCCUCCGAUUGCACCAAUUAUGUGCAGACAUCUAGUAGUAAUCUGAACCAUUUAUUUUAUAUUACAGAUGCUCUGCAUUGGAGACAGCGUCGCUGCAGCUGUGCUAUUACGACGUUAUAACAAAUAAUUGCCUAUACUGUUUAAAAAAAUGUAUGCAAUGCAUUUCGUUUAUAUAUUGAACCAUUAACAAUGAGCGUGAUUAUACUGUCAGAAACACACUGGCGUUCAUUUUCUUUCUAUUCUGCCACAACAGGAUGUAGUAGGCUAAUGGACAAGCAAAUCCCAGACAUAAUAUUGCAGACAGGUGAUAGAAGCGUACUUACCGCUUUAACGAUGAAGAGUCCUGCUGUCAUCCGUUAUCAGAUUCGCGCUGUUUUUCCGGAAAGACCUUACUGGGCUUAUCGCUUUCAUAUUGACACUUCGUGUGAGACGUUCAGUUCGUUCGUUGAGAUAUUUGUUUUAGUAUUCUUUCUAUUCCUUCACAGACGGUCGGUGAGCAAACGGACUGGUUUAACAAGCUGUCAUUGUGG